GGUGUGAAACAGCCGGUGUGGGGGGGCGAGCAGGGGGCGCAGCGCCUCGCCGGUGCCGCAGUCUCUGCCGGCGGCUCCCGGGACCCCGCACCUCUCGCCGCUCCCGCAGGAAGAACUGUGGUCUCCUCUCUUCUCUCUCCCCCUCUCCUUCCUGAGAAGAUGCCAGUCAGAAGAGACGUUUCCCGGCAGACGUGCCUGGGGAAAAGAAGAAAGAAGGAGAACAAGUAGAAGAAGAAAAAGAAGAAAAGGAAGAAAAAGAAGAAAAAGAAGAAAAAGAAGAAAAAGAAGAAAAAGAAGAAAAAGAAGAAAAAGAAGAAAAAGAAGAAAAAGAAGAAAAAGAAGAAAAAGAAAAGUGAAUUGUAAAAUUGAAAAGUAAAUGCUGGCGCUGGAAAACUUCGAACUGGUGCUGGAAAACUUCGAACUGGUGCUGGCAGUUUGACCCAGUCCAGCUGAAACGAAGACGGUUUACCAAGCUCCGCAAUUUUCGGAUCGAAGCUGAUUUAUCCACAGUUUAGCUGCGUAGGGGGAGGAAACUUGUAUAAAAAUAAACCAAACGUGCCGUUUCUUUUCGGAAGUUAAAUUUUAUUCUAAAACCACGGGCUGGUUGUUACUUCGGAGAAUUAAUAAUGAUGAGUAUGAUUAUAAGAAUAACCCGUUACAUUCCAUCCAAAAGGUUUCUAUACGCAUGUCAGCCAGGGGUAGCAAGAAGUGCACUUGUUUUGUUGAUUGAAGCCGAAUAUAUUCCCUUCAACAAA